GAUGAACGCUAGCGGGAGGCCUAACACAUGCAGGCCGAGCGGUAUUGUUUCUUCGGAAAUGAGAGAGCGGCGUACGGGUGCGGAACACGUGUGCAACCUGCCUUUAUCUGGGGGAUAGCCUUUCGAAAGGAAGAUUAAUACUCCAUAAUAUAAUGAACGGCAUCGUUUAAUAUUGAAAGCUCCGGCGGAUAGAGAUGGGCACGCGCAAGAUUAGCUAGUUGGUGAGGUAACGGCUCACCAAGGCGAUGAUCUUUAGGGGGCCUGAGAGGGGGAUCCACCACACUGGUACUGAGACACGGACCAGACUCCUACGGGAGGCAGCAGUGAGGAAUAUUGGUCAAUGGGUGCAAGCCUGAACCAGCCAUCCCGCGUGAAGGACGACUGCCCUAUGGGUUGUAAACUUCUUUUGUAUAGGGAUAAACCUACUCUCGUGAGGGUAGCUGAAGGUACUAUACGAAUAAGCACCGGCUAACUCCGUGCCAGCCGCCGCGGUAAGAC
rnacentral:rRNA from 1 species